CCACACUAUAUGUCAACAAUAUCCAAGUAACAGGAUCCCUUGAGACAUGACCCCUCCAGCCACAGUCAUCUGAAUACAGUGCAAAUUGACUCAUGACUCAUGGUAUGACCACACUCAUGGCUGGCUACAAAUGAGAGGAAAAAAGAAUGUCCUGAUAGUAGCAUGUGAGGAACUGCAUCAGGUUAUCCCAGUGAGAAGAUCAAGGAUGGUCGCUGUCUGCCUUUUCUUCAUUGUUCCAGACAUAAGAGCCAGUGUAGAGAUAAUCAGCCAAUUACUGGGCAAGAAACUAAGCCCAGAAGAACUGAACUCAAGUCAUUAAGCACACAUCCUUCCAGACCAUGAAAGAUAAUAAAAUGAGCAACUAUUCCUUACCA